rnacentral:rRNA from 2 species
GGAUCCAGACUUUGAUCAUGGCUCACGAUGAACGCUAGCUACAGGCUUAACACAUGCAAGUCGAGGGGAAACGACAUCGAAAGCUUGCUCUUGAUGGGCGUCGACCGGCGCACGGGUGAGUAACGCGUAUCCAACCUGCCCAUCACUUGGGGAUAACCUUGCGAAAGUAAGACUAAUACCCAAUGAUAUCUCUAGAAGACAUCUGAAAGAGAUUAAAGAUUUAUCGGUGAUGGAUGGGGAUGCGUCUGAUUAGCUUGUUGGCGGGGUAGCGGCCCACCAAGGCGACGAUCAGUAGGGGUUCUGAGAGGUAGGUCCCCCACAUUGGAACUGAGACACGGUCCAAACUCCUACGGGAGGCAGCAGUGAGGAAUAUUGGUCAAUGGGCGAGAGCCUGAACCAGCCAAGUAGCGUGCAGGAAGACGGCCCUAUGGGUUGUAAACUGCUUUUAUAAGGGAAUAAAGUGAGUCUCGUGAGACUUUUUGCAUGUACCUUAUGAAUAAGGACCGGCUAAUUCCGUGCCAGCAGCCGCGGUAAUACGGAAGGUCCGGGCGUUAUCCGGAUUUAUUGGGUUUAAAGGGAGCGUAGGCCGGAGAUUAAGCGUGUUGUGAAAUGUAGACGCUCAACGUCUGCACUGCAGCGCGAACUGGUUUCCUUGAGUACGCACAAAGUGGGCGGAAUUCGUGGUGUAGCGGUGAAAUGCUUAGAUAUCACGAAGAACUCCGAUUGCGAAGGCAGCUCACUGGAGCGCAACUGACGCUGAAGCUCGAAAGUGCGGGUAUCGAACAGGAUUAGAUACCCUGGUAGUCCGCACGGUAAACGAUGGAUGCCCGCUGUUGGUCUGAAUAGGUCAGCGGCCAAGCGAAAGCAUUAAGCAUCCCACCUGGGGAGUACGCCGGCAACGGUGCA